UACGUAGGGUGCUAGCGUUGUUCGGAAUCAUUGGGCGUAAAGCGCGUGUAGGCGGUUAGUUAAGUCGGGUGUGAAAUCCCUGGGCUCAACCGAGGAAGUGCAUCCGAAACUAACUAGCUAGAGAAUGGUAGAGGAAGGUGGAAUUCCGUGUGUAGAGGUGAAAUUCGUAGAUAUACGGAGGAAUACCGGUGGCGAAGGCGGCCUUCUGGACCAUUUCUGACGCUGAGACGCGAAAGCGUGGGGAGCAAACAGG
rnacentral:rRNA from 1 species